UUGGCCAAUACCUGCAGGGUGGUGGGAGAAAAACUUUCCUGGAACGGGGAUGCCAAAGUAAGCAUUCCGCGUCAGUAUUCCCGUAUUCCCGGCCAAUUAACUCCUGACAGCCGUCAACUACUUUUGACACAUCGUAGGGAGGGGGGUUAUUUUUCAGACCAUGGAAUUUUCCUAGAAACGUUGGUGCAAUUUCCCGGUUAAGUUGUAACUUGUAAUUAAGUCUCCUAAUAGAGUCAAUCAUGUUUGAAAUCCUCUUUUAUCUUACCUUGCAUGAUUGCCAACAAAGAAAGAGAAAAAUUUGUAUUGCCAGCUUUUCAGUCUCUGGUUUCCUGUGUUUCUUGGCUUCCAAAUUUAAAGUGUCUCACUUUUCCUUAUUUCCCAAUCUACCAAGAUGCUGUUUUGUGCUCCUGUCUUAAAGUUGAGAUGAAACUCAAACAAGUUUUCUGAUUUGGCGUUGAGUUUUGUUGCUAAGGAUCAAGAAUGGGAGGAGCAGGGGAGCUUAUUGGAGGGGCUGUUCUAGGAACACUUUUUAGUGUGCUGUAUGAACGCCUUGAGAAGCUGAUCAUCAAGAAUUUCAAAUAUAAAAACAUCCUCAACGACUUCAAGUCAAAUUUAGACUCUUUAAAGCCAGUGAUCAACCAGAUAGAAGAAUACAACACGGAAUUGGAUCACCCAGAGCAGGAACUGAAAGACCUAAAAGAAGUGAUGAAGAAGGGCAUAGAGCUCGUCGGCAAGUGCUUUGAGGGUGGUGAGUUUCAGUUCUACGAAAAGAACAAAUAUGCCAACAAACUUGUUCAGUUGGACAAAUCUCUCCAAGCACUUCUACAGAGACUGCAUGUGCAGGGCAUAAGGGAUGUGAAGGAGAGCUCGGUUUCGGUGAGGAACAUAAAGAAGGAGCUCAGCCGAAUUGAACCAAUGCUCAGCCGAAUUGAAUCAAGUUUGGUGUUACAAAAUCAAGCUAAGACUGAAGCUUGGUGUGCAGCACCUGAACUUCGGCUGCUUGUAGUUGGGUUGGAUUUUCCUUUGAAGGAAUUGAAGAGGAAGCUUCUUAAUCUUAAAGAUGGGGUGUCAAUGCUUGUUCUGACUGCUCCUGGAGGAUGUGGCAAGACCACUUUGGCAACAACAUUUUGUCAAGAUCAGGAAGUCAAAGAUACAUUCGGGGACAAUAUCUUCUUUGUCACUGUUUCAAGCAACCCCAACUUGGAACGUAUUGUUCAAGAACUUCAUCUACGCAGGGGUUCCAAAGUACCUACUCUCGGAAACGAAGUAAAUGCAAGUUAAGUGGCCGCACCAUUUUCUCAAGGAACAAGGACAAAAUCCUUUACUGUUGGUCCUGGAUGUUGUUUGGUCUGGAUCAGAAUCCCUUCUGGAGAAGUUUGAUCAAGUUAAAAUGCCAAAUUAUAAGCUUUUGGUGACAUCAAGGUCUGAAUUUCCUAGAUUUGGCUCUUCAUAUCAUUUACAGUCAUUGGAUAAUGACAAUGCAAUGAAACUUUUUCAUCAUUAUGCAUCUUUGGGAGAUAAGAGCUCUGAUAUUCCAGAAGAUCUUUCAAGACAGAUAGUACUAGUAGAGCGUUGUAAGGGAUUUCCACUUGCCAUUAAAGUGCUUGGGGGAUCACUUUGCAGACAGCCUAUAGAGAUCUGGACACAGAGAUUAAAUGAAUGGUCUAGAGGUUCUACUGUUCAUGAUUCAGAUGGUGAGUUGCGAUUUUGGCUCCAAAGCAGCUUCGAAGCAUAGGAUAAAGAAAUGCCUAUUAUUAAGGAAUGUUUCUUAGAACUGGGUUUGUUUCCCGAAGACCAAAGAAUCCCUGCUGCUGCCCUCAUUGAUAUAUGGACAGAGUAUUAUGAUCUAGAUGAAGAUGCAGAGUGCAUUGCAAACCUCUACAAGCUCUCAUACCGAAGUCUCGCAAAUCUUGUAGUCAUAAGGAAGGAAAAGGUGGAGAAGGUGGAGAAGGUGGAGAAGGAGGAGGGGAAUCAGUACUACAGUGAACACUUUGUUACCCAACAUGAUAUUCUUAGAGAGCUGGCUAUCUACUACUCAAAACAAGAACCAGUAGAACAGAGGACAAGGCUGAUUAUCGACAAAUGUGGUAACAAACUUCCCAGUUGGUGGAGAGAACAGAAGCAUCAACCGAUGAAGGCCCGCCUAUUAUCUAUCUCAACAACUGACAGACUGUUUCCAAAAGAACUGCAAAACAUGCAAGUACCAGACGUUGAGGUUCUAGUCUUGAAUUUCCAGACAAACAACUAUGCCUUACCCAAAUCUGUGGAGAACAUGGAUAAAUUGAGGGCUUUAAUAGUCACAAAUUCUGUCUCACCUGCUGAGUUGAGCAACUUUCAACUUCUGAGUUCGUUAUCGAAUUUAAAGAGAAUCAGAUUAGAACGCAUCUCAAUUCUUUCCAUAACCAAGAACCCCAUAGAAUUGAAGUCUGCAGAAGAUAUCCUUGUUCAUGUGUAAUAUCGGUCAAGCUUUCAGCAACUGCUCCAUCCCAAUCUCAUCAGCAUUCCCGAAUCUAGAGGAAAUCAACAUUGACUAUUGCGAUGAUCUGGUGGAAUUGCCUGCCGACCUCAGUGAUCUUAUUCAACUAAAGAAGCUCAGCGUCACCAACUGUCAUAAGCUAUCUGCCUUGCCUGAAGAGAUUGGGAAGCUGGUCAACUUAGAAGUAUUGAGGCUAAGGUGCUGCACAGACUUGGUAAAACUUCCAGGCUCCAUUAAGUACCUCACUAGGUUACACUUUCUUGACAUAUAUAAAUGUUUCAGCAUUAAGGAAUUUCCUGAAAAGAUUGGUGAAUUGAGUGGUUUAGAAACAAUCAACAUGGGACAAUGCUCAAGAUUGCAAGAGUUGCCUGUAUCAGUUUUGAAUCUUGGGAAGUUACAAGAAGUGAUAUGCGAUGAAGAGACAGAAAUAUUAUGGGGGGAACUUUUCAAAUCCCAUCUCACAAGGAUAUCGGUGGUAAAAGAAGACUUCAACCUGCAUUGACUCCACAAAUUUUGAGAGCUGACUGUCCUUAAUAAACGUAUGUUGGGGCAAUGUCUGUGUGAUUUGUGUAUCAAUUUUUCAUUUUCCUAGUUUUCUUCUCUUUUGUGGUGUUUAUUUCUCAUUUGCCUUUGUAUGAGAUAUUUUUGCAUAGUAAAAACAGUUUGAAUGAGAGGAUUUGGAUUUACCACCAUAUAGUAGAGAUUUAAUUUCUUAUGAGGAAGGACAGAGGAGAGCAGGGGCUACCCUUCCUUGUGCGAAAGAAGUAUACAGUAAAGAAGACAAUAGUCUAUCAUUCUUCUU